rnacentral:rRNA from 1 species
ACAGCAGCAGCCGCGGGAAUACAGAGGGUGCGAGCGUUAAUCGGAUUUACUGGGCGUAAAGCGUGCGUAGGCGGCUUCUUAAGUCGGAUGUGAAAUCCCUGAGCUUAACUUAGGAAUUGCAUUCGAUACUGGGAAGCUAGAGUAUGGGAGAGGAUGGUAGAAUUCCAGGUGUAGCGGUGAAAUGCGUAGAGAUCUGGAGGAAUACCGAUGGCGAAGGCAGCCAUCUGGCCUAAUACUGACGCUGAGGUACGAAAGCGUGGGGAGCAAACAGGAUUAGAUACCCCGGUAGUCCCUGUCUCUUAUAC